AUGAAACACACGCCGUUUUUCUUUGCAUUCUUUUUUACCUUCCCCUGAACGGGAGGCGUGUCGUCGUGUGAUAAAGAAUGCCAGGACGAACAGCAAGGCCUCCCGAAACGGGGGGCCUUUUUUUU
rnacentral:ncRNA from 1 species